UCUUGUGCAUGUGUGUAUGCAUUCAAUUUUUGUACUUGACAUUUGGGUUUUUUGUAUGUAUACUUGUCCAUUUUGUUUUGCUCUCUUUUUAAAGAUUUCCCUCUGUCUUCUUAAAAGAGUGAGAAAGAAGGCAUGGAGUUUGAAGGGUAAGGAGGUAAGAAGAAUUGGGAGGAGAUGAGGAAGAGGAAACCAUGAAUAGAAUAUAUUGUAUAAAAUUAUUUUCCACUAAAAACAAAGAGGAAUAAGAAACAAAAUAGAAAUUUUAAGAAAAGAAAACUACAUUAUUACUCAUAGAUAUAUUCUGGUAUGACUUGACUUUUUGUUUUAUGUUAGAAGCUCUACAAAGAGUUUAUUAAAGACCAUUAAGCCUGGAGAAGAUAUAGCUUGGAGAAGUUGAACAAAAAGUUUGUUCAAUGACUUUAUGUCUGGGAUACUUGCUUUUAUUCAGUUUUGCUGAGCACAUGUACCCAAGUUUGGACAUGAGUGAGUGAAAAUAUUACAAAGGCCAAAUCUGCCCAGCAUUCCCAUUUAAGAAGAGAAACAAACUCUGCUUGGAAACAGUGACUAAGUUCUUAAAAUACUCAUUUCUGACUUUUUUGUCUAUGUGAAUUACAUAUGAAAAUGUUUCAGCAUGUUAAAGGGAAACUAUAAUGUAAAUUUGUAGGAACAUGAAUAAUAAUUUGGAAACACAUUUUUUAAUCUUAGAACAUUAGGUAAUUUUAUGAUGAGAUAAAUUUUAAUAUUAACAGUAGCCUAUGCAAAUCCACUCUGUCCAAAACAAUGACUUUUUUCCCCCAGUUUUCAGUUUUAACAUUAUUGUACAUAUCCUUUUCUGUAAUACUUGUCUUCUAUAAGGAAUGAAUUGACAUCACAGCAUAUUAAAGAGCAGGCAGGUUUUCUAGCACUUGGGCUACUUCUCUACACAUUCUUCUCAUCUCCUUCUCUUAAUGUAUUAUUUUCUCAUUCCUAAGAAAAGGUGGCUGACAGAAGCCAAGUAAGAGAGAAGAGAUUUAUUUUAGUGUGCAAUUUCAGAGGGCCCCGGCUCUUCAGAGUGGGGAGGGCUUAAUAAGGUGGCUCAGUACAUAGUGUCAACACAAGUUCACAAGGAAGUAAAUCAGAAAACAAAAAGUUACUGAAAAUAGCUGCCCGCCCACCUGCCUGCUUCCCUGAGGGUUGUUUGUAGAUUACAUAGCCUUCCUAAAUAUAAAGAAGUGUUGAGAAUAUAGCCUGUGGGAGGCAUUCAAAAUUCUGUCCACAAUAUCCACUCUAAUAUUCAGUCAAGUGCACUUGCCAAUUGAUUUAAAUACUUGUUCCCACAUCUACCUCUAGUAGUCAUGUCAAGCUUUGCAUGAACUAUGGAACAAUCACUGAGUAAAUUUAUGCUCAGUGAAUGGACUUUAGAAAUGAGAUGAAAUGUAUUUUCUACCCACGCUGAACAUUAAAAUCAUAGCAAACACCUAAACAAAGCCAUUAAAAAUACAUGUUAAAACAAGAAGAAAACAAACAGUAAAUGUUAAAGUUCUGAAGAGAGAAGAGGGUGAAAAGACCUGAUUUUUAGAUUAAGUGUAGCUUGUAAGUGUAGACAUGUUUGAAGGAAUAACAUAGGACGUGAAUUAAUAGAUUGAUAUGUUUGAUAAAUAAAUGAUUACACUUUGAAUCCCUUUAAAAUUUUACUAUUUGUUUAUGUAUACAUGGAAUUGUGCCUGUGGAUAUGCACACACAUGUGUGAAGAUGCCUGCAGAAACAAGAGAAUGGUGGUGUGCACUCUUGAUCUGGAGUUAUAAGUAUUUGGAGCCACACAAUUUAGAUGCAGGAAACUGCAGGCACAUCAAGUGCUUGUCAGCACUGUAUCAUCUCUCCAGCUAAGCUACUGCAGUUCGAACCGUGCUGAUAAAGUUGAAAUAUAAAUAAAACAUAAAGAAUCUUUUGUGGAUCCACAUAGUAGCUUAUAGCUGUCUUUUUAACAGUUCCAGGGGAUCCAAGGCAUCUCCUCUGUUCUCUGUGGCACCAGAGACACAAGUGAUAAUUAUGUAUAUGCAGAUGAAACAAUCAUAUAUAUAAAAUAAAAAUAAAUCUUUGAAAAAAUCAUUUGUGUAGAUAAAAUAAACUUAGGUUUAAUAAAUUUAUGUGAUGUUACAUGUGUUGGGAAAACACUAAGAAUCAAUUCAAGUUAUAAAGUUCAUAAAUUUAUAAUUCAUAAAAGGAAAACAAGAGGAAAUACUCAUUUGCACAAUCUCUUUAGUAAUCAAAGAAAUGAAACAAUAAUAUUAAUCCUUUGUUACUAGUAAUUCUAGAAAAUCCUGUUUUAAAAUUUAUAUCAAAUAUGACUCAUGUUGUAAAAUAUUUGAAAAAGAUAGUAAUUCCAAAGGAAUUCUAAAUGAGGACACAAUUUCUGGAGAGCAAGUUGGCAGUAUACCUCAAGUGCUAUAAAAUAUUCAUCUCAUUUGAUUUAUGAAUUUCUCUUCUAGAAAUGUACCCGUGGAAAUGCAAUUUGCUCACAAAUGUAAUCUGAGAGAAGCAAUUUUCAUGAAAAGAUUAUCAUUGCAAAGUCCUUGGAUGAAUUGCAGCUCCAUAUAUUCUGAGGAUGAAGUCAAAAGAACGAUAGAUUGGAAGCACAGUCAAGAUGAGUGUUGUGAUGCAUGUAUGAGUCAUUCCAUAGUCUCUGAUUGGAGGCAGAGUGGAGAGUUCCAAGUAUUUAAACACAAAAAGGAAUAGUUGACAUUACACAGAUUAAGGAUGAACGAUGAGAAGAGUGGGUGGUAAAAGGCUAGAAGAGUUUAUUGUGCUGUUGACAAUAUCCUCACAUGAAAGAGAUGAAGGUUCACUCUUCAGAAAGUAUCUGUGCUGGUGUCGUUUCUACACUCAACUUUUCUUUUGCAAUAAAAAUAUCAGAAUUAUCCUUUCGGUGGCCUUGCAAUACAUAGUGGUGACAUAAUUUGGAAUCUGAAUGGCUUCUAGUAGGACCACAAUCUCAAGGAUGUAUUUUCUUGGAGUAUUAUGGGCAAUGAAGAGAAGUUCUCUUCCUCUCUAGCUGGAUGCAUGAGUAUGGAUUACAUGGAAAGCAGAGUUAGAAUCUGUGUAAAACUACACUGAGGCUUGUUCCUGCCUCCCUCUGGAUACCCCAAGGGAGAAGAAUGAGUUCUGCUUUUGGACCGGCAUGGAAUUAUUUGGAAGAACCUCAUAUUCUGUGACCUCUGUUAUGCUCCCUUAUAUUCCCUGAAAAAUCUUUGUUCUGUCACCAUUAAAUCACAUCCAACUCUGAACCAGGGGGCUCAUGUGGGAAAAUGAGCAAUUCUGUAAAGCUGGGGCAGGACUUCAGGUGAAAACGGAUUGCCGAGGAAUGCUGUAGAGAGGCCAUGGGCCUCAAAUCUGGCAAUUUUUACCUUGGUGAGGUUUUAUUUUCUGCCAUAUGUUGGUUCUACUUUCUAAGAUCGAAUGGAAAGACCAGGAGUUAAGUUUCAUGGAACUAGUAAAUCAUAUAGUCCAUUGUACUCUGUCCAAAGAUUAACAACAUUCCUGUGGGUACUUCACCAAUCACAAUAGUACGUCUGCUUGUACCUGAGGCAAGGAGGCCAUUCUCUCCUAAAAGCUGUAAUAAUUUGUAGAAAUACAUGACUUGCCAUUUGAGAGGUCCCAAAGUUUAGGUUAAAACUCAAUAGUGCUAUUCAUUUUUGCUCAUAUACAUACAGAGGAAAGGAUUUAGUAAGACAGGGAGAGCUAAGUCUGGGACAGAAGUUUAAGAGGUCUGAGUCUAGUAAUUACAAGAGCCUAAUGGAAUAGAUUUUACUCUGCAGUUUUAGGCCUCACAAAGAAGGUUAGCCAAAAAUUUCGCUUCAACAUCUGAAUUCUGAAAAAGUCAGUCCCUGCUGUUUUGCAGGUCAUUGCUG
rnacentral:sRNA from 1 species